UACGUAGGGUGCGAGCGUUGUCCGGAUUUAUUGGGCGUAAAGGGCUCGUAGGCGGCGUGUCGCGUCGGGUGUGAAAGCCCGGGGCUUAACCCCGGGUCUGCAUUCGAUACGGGCAGGCUAGAGUGUGGUAGGGGAGAUCGGAAUUCCUGGUGUAGCGGUGAAAUGCGCAGAUAUCAGGAGGAACACCGGUGGCGAAGGCGGAUCUCUGGGCCAUUACUGACGCUG
rnacentral:rRNA from 1 species